GAUGAACGCUAGCUACAGGCUUAACACAUGCAAGUCGAGGGGCAGCAUGGUCUUAGCUUGCUAAGGCCGAUGGCGACCGGCGCACGGGUGAGUAACACGUAUCCAACCUGCCGUCUACUCUUGGACAGCCUUCUGAAAGGAAGAUUAAUACAAGAUGGCAUCAUGAGUCCACAUGUUCACAUGAUUAAAGGUAUUCCGGUAGACGAUGGGGAUGCGUUCCAUUAGAUAGUAGGCGGGGUAACGGCCCACCUAGUCUUCGAUGGAUAGGGGUUCUGAGAGGAAGGUCCCCCACAUUGGAACUGAGACACGGUCCAAACUCCUACGGGAGGCAGCAGUGAGGAAUAUUGGUCAAUGGGCGAGAGCCUGAACCAGCCAAGUAGCGUGAAGGAUGACUGCCCUAUGGGUUGUAAACUUCUUUUAUAAAGGAAUAAAGUCGGGUAUGGAUACCCGUUUGCAUGUACUUUAUGAAUAAGGAUCGGCUAACUCCGUGCCAGCAGCCGCGGUAAUACGGAGGAUCCGAGCGUUAUCCGGAUUUAUUGGGUUUAAAGGGAGCGUAGAUGGAUGUUUAAGUCAGUUGUGAAAGUUUGCGGCUCAACCGUAAAAUUGCAGUUGAUACUGGAUAUCUUGAGUGCAGUUGAGGCAGGCGGAAUUCGUGGUGUAGCGGUGAAAUGCUUAGAUAUCACGAAGAACUCCGAUUGCGAAGGCAGCCUGCUAAGCUGCAACUGACAUUGAGGCUCGAAAGUGUGGGUAUCAAACAGGAUUAGAUACCCUGGUAGUCCACACGGUAAACGAUGAAUACUCGCUGUUUGCGAUAUACAGCAAGCGGCCAAGCGAAAGCGUUAAGUAUUCCACCUGGAGAGUACGCCGGCAACGGUGAAACUCAAAGGAAUUGACGGGGGCCCGCACAAGCGGAGGAACAUGUGGUUUAAUUCGAUGAUACGCGAGGAACCUUACCCGGGCUUAAAUUGCAGAUGAAUUACGGUGAAAGCCGUAAGCCGCAAGGCAUCUGUGAAGGUGCUGCAUGGUUGUCGUCAGCUCGUGCCGUGAGGUGUCGGCUUAAGUGCCAUAACGAGCGCAACCCUUGUUGUCAGUUACUAACAGGUUCCGCUGAGGACUCUGACAAGACUGCCAUCGUAAGAUGUGAGGAAGGUGGGGAUGACGUCAAAUCAGCACGGCCCUUACGUCCGGGGCUACACACGUGUUACAAUGGGGGGUACAGAGGGCCGCUACCACGCGAGUGGAUGCCAAUCCCAAAAACCUCUCUCAGUUCGGACUGGAGUCUGCAACCCGACUCCACGAAGCUGGAUUCGCUAGUAAUCGCGCAUCAGCCACGGCGCGGUGAAUACGUUCCCGGGCCU
rnacentral:rRNA from 1 species